CUGGAGUGGGUUGCCUUUCCCUUCUCCAAGGAAUCUUCCCAACCCAGGGAUCAAACUCAGGUCUCCCACAUUGCAGGUGGAUUCUUUACCAUCUGAGCCACAGGGGAAGCCCAAGAAUACUGGAGUGGGUAGCCUAUCCCUUCUGCAACAGAUCUUCCUGACCCAGGAAUCGAACCGGAGUCUGCUGCAUUGCAGACAUGCGGCCACUUGAAUUCCUUUGGUGAUGGUGCUUUAGCAGAGGACUAAUGCACGUCAGAGUUUUGCACAAAAAGCACACCGUAUGGGCGUCGCCGGUGGCUCCGUGGUAAAGACUCCGCCGGCCGAUGCCGGAGACACGGGCUGGAUCCCCGACCCGGGAAGACCACAAGCUGAGGAGCAGCUAAGCCUCCUGACAACCGCUGAGCCUCUGCUCUCGAGCCCGGGAGUUGCGACUACUGAGUUCGCGUGCUGCAGCUGCGGAGCCCAGGUACCACAGCUACCGAAGCCCGGGUCCCAGAGCCCCAGCUCUGCAAGGAGAGAAGCCGCUGCCACGAGAAGCCGACGCCCCAACGACUCGAGUGCAGCCCCUGCUCACCGCGACUGGAGAAAGCCUGUGUGCUGCAAGGAAGACGGCGCACAGCCUAAACUUUGGCCACCUCCCUGCCCAAAGCUCUGGCCCUGGGGCCAAGUCCCUCCGUCUCUUUCCAGCCCACCAUUGCCAGCUCUGGCCCUGGGGCCGAGUCCCUCUGUCUCUUUCCAGCCAACCAUUGCUAGCCUCCUUCCUGCAUCUUUACCUGGUGCUGCUGAGUUCUUAGACUGCUCAUGGCCAAGCCAGGACAAAACAACAGCCUCUGGCGUCCUUCUGGCCAGUUUGUAGCUACGAGGAGGAGCAGCAGCCGCUGGCGGAAAACAUGUCAAAUAGCCCUGGCUCCUAUGGGAAUCACAGAGGUGAAAAAACAUCCUUUUCUUGGUGAAGCACCACUGUGGGAUUGCAAAGUCCCAGGACCAAGACUUUUUUAACUUUUUAUUUUGUUGAUAAAGAUCCGAAAGGCCCUCUGGGUCAGCCUUCUGCGUCAUGUGGAAGUCCCUGCUACAGACCUUUGUGUGGGAGUCACAGGUCUCUGUACCUGUCUAGCAGAGCCCACUGGGGGCUUAGUCUCUAAUUAAAACACCUCUCUCACACUAAAUCGGAGAAGGUGAUGGCACCCCACUCCAGUACUCUUGCUUGGAAAACCCAUGGAUGGAGGAGCCUGGUGGGCUGCAGUCUGUGGGGUCGCUAAGAGUCGGACACGACUGAGCGACUUCACUUUCACUUUUCACUUUCAUGCAUUGGAGAAGGAAAUGGCAACCCACUCCAGUGUUCUUUCCUGGAGAAUUCCAGGGACGGUGGAGCCUGGUGGGCUGCCGACUAUGGGGUCACACAGAGUCGGACACGACUGAAGUGACUUAGCAGCAGCUCACACUAAAUGGGAUAUUAUCUCCAGUUUCUUCUUCUCCCUACUUGUUCAGCCAGGUACGCUGCCAGGCUCAUGGGAUGUCAAGUCAAGUCAAUUUCAGGAUUUGUUCUUCUUUAUUGUUUAACGUUUAGUGUGCAUAGUAUUAGUUGCUCAGUCGUGUCCGACUCUUUGUGACCCCAUGGACUGUAGCCCGCCAGGCCCCUCUGUCCAUGGACUUCUCAGGCAAGAAUAGUGCAGUGGGCUGCCAUUUCCUUCUCCAGGUGAUCUUCCCAACCCAGGGAUCAAACCCAGGUCUCCUGCAUUGCAGGCAGAUUCUUUACCAUCUGAGCCACCAAGGAAGGCCCCCCCCCCCCAAUAAAUAAAUACAUGUUUUUUAUAAUAUUUUUUAAUUGGAGGAUAACUGCUUUACAACACUUCUGUGGUAUAACAGCUGCGUUACUUCUGUGGUAUCACACCGUGAAACAGCUCUAUGUAUGCCUAUAUCCCCUCCCUCCAGAGCCUCCCCUCCCUUCCCCCUACCCACCCC
ensembl:lncRNA